CGGGGCGUGGCUCAGCUGGUAGAGCGCUCGCUUUGGGAGCGAGAGGUCGCUGGUUCAAAUCCAGUCGCCCCGA
rnacentral:tRNA from 1 species